rnacentral:rRNA from 1 species
CCUACGGGAGGCAGCAGUGAGGAAUAUUGGUCAAUGGGCUUACGCCUGAACCAGCCAAGUCGCGUGAGGGAAGACUGCCCUAUGGGUUGUAAACCUCUUUUGUCAGGGAGCAAUUGGCGCUACGUGUAGCGUUAUCGAGAGUACCUGAAGAAAAAGCAUCGGCUAACCCCGUGCAAGCAGCCGCGGUAUUACGGGGGAGGCGAGCGUUACCCGGAUUUAUUGGGUUUAAAGGGUGCGUAGGCGGAAUGCCAAGUCAGCGGUAAAAUCGAGGGGCUCAACCUCUAUCCGCCGUUGAUACUGGGGUUCUUGAGUGGGCGAGAAGUAUGCGGAAUGCGUGGUGUAGCGGUGAAAUGCAUAGAUAUCACGCAGAACUCCGAUUGCGAAGGCAGCAUACCGGCGCCCAACUGACGCUGAAGCACGAAAGCGUGGGUAUCGAACAGGAUUAGAUACCCGUGUAGUC